UGUGAACCUAAAAACCAUUUUUAAAAUGACAUCUUUGUGAGGAAGGAUUUGAACAGAAAAAUGUGUAUCAGGAUCUCAAGGAACUGAAGGUGGCUUUAGAUUAAACACACCACGAUCGGGGCUCUCUUUGCUCCUGAGUAUGUCAGCCGAUUUUGUCUCUGUCUCCUGUACAUUUAUCCUUUGUUAAGUUCUGCACAUGGCCAAAGGGUUCUGUCUCAGUGCUGGAUCUGAAAGCUAAAUCUAGAACAGAUUAUUAUAAUAUGAAAAGGGUUGUCUAAAUAGUAAACAUUUGUAGACCAUGAAUAAUCUAUCACCUCAUUCCUUUGUUCAUUUAUCUGUUGACAACACAAAGCUUACUCCCUUUUCAGACGGAAGUCCAGGAGAAUGGGGAAUGGAUAGUCACCCUGCAAAAGCCGUUGCUGAUCCAGAAGUAGAAUUCCUGUCUCUUUCUCCAGCAUCAUGCCUGUCUGUAUCCUGCCGUGCUUCUCGCCAUGACAAUAAAGGGCUAGUCUGAACUUGUAAUCCAGCCCUAUUAAAUGUUUUCCUUUGUAAGAGU
rnacentral:lncRNA from 1 species